rnacentral:rRNA from 1 species
CCUACGGGAGGCAGCAGUGGGGAAUAUUGCACAAUGGGCGAAAGCCUGAUGCAGCGACGCCGCGUGAGGGAUGACGGCCUUCGGGUUGUAAACCUCUUUCAGCAGGGAAGAAGCGCAAGUGACGGUACCUGCAGAAGAAGCACCGGCUAACUACGUGCCAGCAGCCGCGGUAAUACGUAGGGUGCGAGCGUUGUCCGGAAUUAUUGGGCGUAAAGAGCUCGUAGGCGGUCUGUCACGUCGGAUGUGAAAGCCCGGGGCUUAACCCCGGGUCUGCAUUCGAUACGGGCAGACUAGAGUGUGGUAGGGGAGAUCGGAAUUCCUGGUGUAGCGGUGAAAUGCGCAGAUAUCAGGAGGAACACCGGUGGCGAAGGCGGAUCUCUGGGCCAUUACUGACGCUGAGGAGCGAAAGCGUGGGGAGCGAACAGGAUUAGAUACCCUGGUAGUCCACGCCGUAAACGUUGGGAACUAGGUGUUGGCGACAUUCCACGUCGUCGGUGCCGCAGCUAACGCAUUAAGUUCCCCGCCUGGGGAGUACGGCCGCAAGGCUAAAACUUAAAGAUAGUAGCGNGNGAGNGCGACGACGACGACGACGGAGGAGGAG